rnacentral:rRNA from 1 species
GAUGAACGCUAGCUACAGGCUUAACACAUGCAAGUCGAGGGGAAACGAUAGAGAAAGCUUGCUUUUUCUAGGCGUCGACCGGCGCACGGGUGAGUAACGCGUAUCCAACCUGCCCAUCACUUGGGGAUAACCUUGCGAAAGUAAGACUAAUACCCAAUGAUGUCUCUAGAAGACAUCUGAAGGAGAUUAAAGAUUUAUCGGUGAUGGAUGGGGAUGCGUCUGAUUAGCUUGUUGGCGGGGUAACGGCCCACCAAGGCGACGAUCAGUAGGGGUUCUGAGAGGAAGGUCCCCCCACAUUGGAACUGAGACACGGUCCAAACUCCUACGGGAGGCAGCAGUGAGGAAUAUUGGUCAAUGGACGAGAGUCUGAACCAGCCAAGUAGCGUGCAGGAUGACGGCCCUAUGGGUUGUAAACUUCUUUUAUAAAGGAAUAAAGUCGGGUAUGGAUACCCGUUUGCAUGUACUUUAUGAAUAAGGAUCGGCUAACUCCGUGCCAGCAGCCG